CAGAGCAGUGGAUCACUCGCCUCGCGUGUCGAUGAAGAACACAGCCAGCUGAUUGAUUUGGUGCGAAUUACAGAACACUCGGAUUGCUGAUUAUUCGAACGCACAUUGCGACUCCCCCUUCUAUGUGGGAGCCUCGCCUGUCUGAAGGU